UGUCUACCUUCUGGAAAACAUCUUGUGGAAAUAUAGUUUGGUUUGGCUUUGUGAAUCUCGUUUCGGCGCCCGGAGAAAGUCCUGUUACAGUGGUCAUCCGACGCGACAUCACCUGGUGGAACGUACCACGGAGAUACACCUAUGGACAAAGCCACCAGAUGUUUCGAGGUACCGUACCACUAAUGUUUUGCCAACAAAGCACGCUGGUCGACCGGGAAUUUCUGAAGAAGAUGUUCAACGGCAUAUGACGAUACAUUUCACGCAGGUACAAGUCCGACGGACAAUGCAACCGCUAACAGCACACAGAAGACAACUGCGCACAACGUCCUGCAUAAACGGUUACGUUUGUACGCGUACAAGUUGUGGCUCAUCCAAGUUAAUAAGGAAGACAAAGUGCUACGCUUUGAUUUUACUAUCUCUGUUCUGGAUUUCCUAGCAAUGGAUACAGACAACCCGAAAGGAGAUGUUUUCACGGACGAAGCCACUUUUUAUAUAUCAACGGCGUAGCGAACAGCAACUGAAAAUCCCAGAAAAUGUUUCCAACAUAUCCUAACAUCGUUCGCGACUCACUCAACGCGAGUUUCCCUUUUCGGUGGAUUGGAUGAGGACGCCUGAUCCCAUGUCCGUCGACUUUCAAUUGAAGAGCUGCCUUGUCGCUGAGGGAUAGGAGAUAGGUCCGGCGACUGAAAUUGGCCAGGUGGGGCCAUGAGAUGAAGCCGUGUCCGGGACAAAAGAAGGAGCUUUUGGGAAGCACCGAUUUCCUGAAGGAUGGAUAGGACGCAAAGGAUUUGUUGAGUCACCCACACGAUCGCCAGAUUAAUCCCAUCAUACUUUCUCUCGUGGGGUUACUUCAAGGACGCGAGCUCCGACAAGAAACUGAAGAGUCUUGCUCAGGCGCAGCAGCAUCAACUUUGGUCGCCGCUCGUCAGUCAGCUGUUCGCCGCUGUCGACUGUGUCACAAAGCUAACGGUUUUCUCGUUGAACAUCUGCACUAGAUUCGCUAAUUCACCAAGUGCCAAUGCUGACAAAUACACAUUUUAUCAUAGUACAAGAAAAGACGGUUAUAGAAAGCAGUGGAACCACAUGACCCAAGAAUAUCAUAAAUAAAACCAUACGUGUUUGUAGGUGUCUCUGCAAGUGUACAGGGAGCAAUAUGUCCACUUUCACUAGACAAAUGCAUUUCGAAACUUAAUUCAAUGAUUUUAUGCUAACGUCAAGUUCUAUUUGUCUGAUUUCCAAAAAAAUUAAUGUUCAAAAGAGUGACGUGCUUGUUUUGUGUGAAUGUAAAUAUGGCUUCUCAGUCUAUGAAGAAGCUGAGAUUGAGCUGAGGGGAAUACGAAUACAACUGAAGUACCAAGAAGUCUUGUUCCUUAGUUGAAAUCAUUAAAAAAUGUUGAGCUGCAGUUGAGUCGUGACAUAUAUGAGAUAACAAUGAAAAUAUACGUUUUGGUUCGAAAACCUGAUAACAUGACAUAACUUGGGGGAGAUGUAUUUGUAUAAAAGCAUAGUUUUAACAUAUAUUUUACGAUGUACGUUAUGAAGAUGUAAAACUGAUUGAAAUGACA